rnacentral:rRNA from 1 species
CAGUAGCCGCGGUAACACGGAGGGUGCGAGCGUUAAUCGGAAUUACUGGGCGUAAAGCGUACGCAGGCGGUUUGUUAAGUCAGAUGUGAAAUCCCCGAGCUUAACUCGGGAACUGCAUUUGAAACUGGCAGGCUAGAGUCUCGUAGAGGGGGGUAGAAUUCCAGGUGUAGCGGUGAAAUGCGUAGAGAUCUGGAGGAAUACCGGUGGCGAAAGCGGCCCCCUGGACGAAGACUGACGCUCAGGUACGAAAGCGUGGGGAGCAAACAGGAUUAGAUACCCGGGUAGUCCCUGUCUCUUAUAC